rnacentral:snRNA from 1 species
AGCUUUGCACAGUGGCAGUAUCGUAGCCAAUGAGGUUUAUCCGAGGCAUGAUUAUUGCUAAUUGAAAACUUUUCCCAAUACCCCGCCAUGACGACUUGAAAUAUAGUCGGCAUUGGCAAUUUUUGACAGUCUCCCUGGAGA